rnacentral:rRNA from 1 species
GGCUCAGGUGGGACUACC